rnacentral:lncRNA from 1 species
GGAAACCUAGGACCUGAAGAGUUUGAGCUAAUAAUUAACAACCAAGUAUUUUUCCUAUUCACCUUGCCUAGCCCGAGGACUAGUGUUCAUAACCGAAACAAUUAGCUCUACAAUCUGAAUGGAAUACCUUCUCCUGUUAGAUCUACUGAAUCCAUCCAAGACUAUGAGAUUUGUGACGACCCAAUUCCUUAUGCUGAGUCUGACCCACAUACACCCACUGGAUACCAUGAUGUUACCUCUCCACCUCAUCCUA